GAUGAACGCUGGCGGAGUGCCUAACACAUGCAAGUCGAGCGGCAGCACGAGUAGUUUACUACUUGGUGGCGAGCGGCGGACGGCUGAGUAACGCGUGGGAACGUGCCCCAAAGUGAGGAAUAACUGCCCGAAAGGGUAGCUAAUGCCGCAUAUGAUCUUCGGAUUAAAGUAUUUAUUACGCUUUGGGAGCGGCCUGCGUCCGAUUAGGUAGUUGGUGAGGUAAAGGCUCACCAAGCCUACGAUCGGUAGCUGGUCUGAGAGGAUGACCAGCCAGACUGGAACUGAGACACGGUCCAGACUCCUACGGGAGGCAGCAGUGGGGAAUUUUCCGCAAUGGGCGAAAGCCUGACGGAGCAAUACCGCGUGAGGGAUGACGGCCUAUGGGUUGUAAACCUCUUUUUUCAGGGAGGAAUCAAUGACGUGUACCUGAAGAAUAAGCAUCGGCUAACUCCGUGCCAGCCGCCGCCGUAA
rnacentral:rRNA from 1 species